AUCUGAUUAUCUUGUAAAUAAUCUCAGCACAGCCUGAGGUUCUGAUAUAGCCACGUAAGCACCUGACCUCUAUCGAUAUCCACUCAAGCAGGACCUAGAACAUCUUCUCCUUACAAAUUUAUGCUCCAAAAAUUAGAUCUCUAUUUGAUUUGGAAGUACUUCAGAACUCCUUCUAAAGUUGGAAUAGUAGCCUGUCGAAGAUGUCCUGCAGCCUUCCUGUUCCAGGCGUCACCACGUCUUGGACCUUUGCCAGAUGGACGUCCAACUCUUUGGAUGUGAAGAGGG
rnacentral:lncRNA from 1 species